rnacentral:lncRNA from 1 species
ACCCCGGGCCCCCAAAGCUGAGCACACAAACCUAACCACUGGGCCACUGGGCCACCCCGAAGCAGUGUUAAUGAGGGAGAGUUUGGUACUCUGUCUUUUAUGACGUUCCUGCUACUGAAAGGAUUCCAGAAGGGCUUGGUAUUUAUGACCCAACCAUUAUGACCCAACCAGCGCCAUUUUGUCAUUUUAAGAUAUACUCCAGUCCUCAGAACACCCUACAGUGGCCAUUCCCACCGAAGCACACGUGGAGAUGUCCUAUCACUUGUGUGGCAAUGUGUUUGUCUGGGAUGGCGACAUGCAUUUUUCAGUUUCCUGAAAUACUCGUUUGUCAAUCUUCAGCUUUUGAACUAUUUUGCCUACAGAAAGACCCCGCUGCAGUGCCCCCUGCUGGACAACAAACAAACAAGAAAGAAGAAGACGGCAGCAUCUUGCAAGCUAGGAAGCACGUGGAUGAGCGGUAACUCGGCCGACAGAAGAAAGCGUAUCCUAACCCGGUCGGGGAAAGCCAGCAAGCAUCUCAAUUUAUAUGACAAAGUCUUGCGAAGGCCUAGGAAUAGGCAGCCGGAGGUGGAAAGUGG